rnacentral:rRNA from 1 species
GAUGAACGCUGGCGGCGUGCCUAAUACAUGCAAGUCGAGCGAACAGACGAGGAGCUUGCUCCUCUGACGUUAGCGGCGGACGGGUGAGUAACACGUGGGUAACCUACCUAUAAGACUGGGAUAACUUCGGGAAACCGGAGCUAAUACCGGAUAAUAUAUUGAACCGCACGGUUCAAUAGUGAAAGACGGUUUUGCUGUCACUUAUAGAUGGAUCCGCGCCGCAUUAGCUAGUUGGUAAGGUAACGGCUUACCAAGGCAACGAUGCGUAGCCGACCUGAGAGGGUGAUCGGCCACACUGGAACUGAGACACGGUCCAGACUCCUACGGGAGGCAGCAGUAGGGAAUCUUCCGCAAUGGGCGAAAGCCUGACGGAGCAACGCCGCGUGAGUGAUGAAGGUCUUCGGAUCGUAAAACUCUGUUAUUAGGGAAGAACAAAUGUGUAAGUAACUAUGCACGUCUUGACGGUACCUAAUCAGAAAGCCACGGCUAACUACGUG